rnacentral:tRNA from 1 species
GUCCUUGUAGCGCAAUGGAUAGCGUGUUGGCCUUCCAAUCCAAAGGUUGUGAGUUCGAAUCCCACCUAGGAUG